AUUGAACGCUGGCGGCAGGCCUAACACGUGCAAGUCGAGCGGAUGAGAGGAGCUUGCUCCUCGAUUCAGCGGCGGACGGGUGAGUAAUGCCUAGGAAUCUGCCUAGUAGUGGGGGACAACGUUUCGAAAGGAACGCUAAUACCGCAUACGUCCUACGGGAGAAAGUGGGGAAUCUUCGGACCUCACGCUAUUAGAUGAGCCUAGGUCGGAUUAGCUAGUUGGUAGGGUAACGGCCUACCAAGGCGACGAUCCGUAACUGGUAUGAGAGGAUGAGGAGUGACACUGGAACUGAGACGCGGUCCAGUCUCCUACGGGAGGCAGCAGUGGGGAAUAGUGGACAAUGGGCGAAAGCCUGAUCCAGCCAUGCCGCGUGUGUGAAGAAUGCCCUCGGGUCGUAAAGCACUUUAAGUUGGGAGGAAGGGCUUACAGCGAAUACCUGUGAGUUUUGACGUUACCGACAGAAUAAGCACCGGCUAACUUCGUGCCAGACGCCGCGGUAA
rnacentral:rRNA from 1 species